rnacentral:lncRNA from 1 species
AUGGCUGCACGCCCCGUGCUGUCCCCUGCCCCCAGAGCUGCCUGGGAGAGCUGGCACAGCCCUGCCCGGGGCACCGCUCUGCUCCCGUGGCACUCACAGCACUCCCUGGAGCCCCAUCCAAGGCACUGCUGCCCUUUGGGGCUGCUGAGCAGAGCCACAGCCCCCCCGGGAGCCCCUCUGCUGCGUGUGUGUGCAGGAGGGGCCACACAAGGGCUGGCAGCUGCUCCCCAGCCCUCUGAGCUGACAUUUCCUUCGUGCAUCUGUCCCAGAAGGGGACACGGGUCCCCUCUGCCACUGCUGGCCCGCAGGAGCUCGGGGAGUGGGGCUGGCAGAGCAGCUGACCCCAAGAGAAGGGCUUGGUGCCAGCUGGGACGGUGCCCUGCAGCCCGUGCCUCGGAGCUGGGCUGUGCAGCGGAGCUGCAGAGCUCCAGGGAGAGCAGCUCCCGUCCCUGGGGAUGCUGCUGGGACAGGAGGAAGAGCUGGGGUGGCUGUGGGGCGUGGUGGGGGUGUCCCAGGAGGAGAAAACACAUCCCUCACCUUCCCUUUGGACACCUGAGGCAGGAACUCAGGAGGAAACACAUCCCACACCUUCCCUUUGGACACCUGAGGCAGGAACUCAGGAGGAAACACAUCCCACACCUUCCCUUUGGACACCUGAGUGAGGAACUCAGGAGGAAACACAUCCCACACCUUCCCUUUGGACACCUGAGGCAGGAACUCAGGAGGAAACACAUCCCACACCUUCCCUUUGGACACCUGAGUGAGGAACUCAGGAGGAAACACAUCCCACACCUUCCCUUUGGACACCUGAGGCAGGAACUCAGGAGGAAACACAUCCCACACCUUCCCUUUGGACACCUGAGGCAGGAGCUCAAAUGUCCCUUUGGACUUUUCCCCUGCAAGGGUCACUCGGGCUCUGGUGUGGCUCUCCCUGGGCGUGUCCUGUUCCCUGGUACCCUAAGUGAGGUCUGGGGUGGGCAGAGGUUUGGGAUUUUCAGGGCUGAUGUGUCUCUCUGA